UACAGAGGCCUCGAGCGUUGUUCGGAAUUACUGGGCGUAAAGGGAAUGUAGGUGGUCGGGUAAGUCAGAUGUGAAAGCCCUGGGCUUAACCUGGGAAGUGCAUUUGAUACUGCUCGGCUUGAGUGCGAGAGAGGAAAGCGGAAUUCCUGGUGUAGGAGUGAAAUCCGUAGAUAUCAGGAGGAAUACCGAUGGCGAAGGCAGCUUUCUGGCUCGUAACUGACACUGAGAUUCGAGAGCAUGGGUAGCAAACAGG
rnacentral:rRNA from 1 species